UACGUAGGGUGCAAGCGUUGUCCGGAAUUAUUGGGCGUAAAGAGCUCGUAGGCGGUCUGUCACGUCGGACGUGAAAAUCCAGGGCUCAACCCUGGACCUGCGUUCGAUACGGGCAGACUAGAGUUCGGUAGGGGAGACUGGAAUUCCUGGUGUAGCGGUGAAAUGCGCAGAUAUCAGGAGGAACACCGGUGGCGAAGGCGGGUCUCUGGCGAAACUGGACGACUGAGGAGCGAAGACGUGGGGAGCAACAGG
rnacentral:rRNA from 1 species